AUGGCGACGGCUCGGUGGCUCGUCCUGUCCCUGCUCGUGUCCGCCGCGUGGGCGUCGGCGGCGGCCGCGGCGCACGAGAAGAAAUGGAAGGCCGGGGCUGCGGUGGGCGGCCAGGUCGUGGAGAAGGAGCGGCGAAGGGUGGUCGCGGAGGGCGAGGCCGGCACUGUUACGGCCACGGACGUCGCCGACGCGGCGGGCACCGUGUACCGGCUGCAGUUCAUCACCAUGGACCCCGGCGCCUUGUUCCUGCCCGUGCAGCUGCACGCCGACGCGGUGUUCUACGUGCACAGCGGGCGGGGCAAGGUGACCUACAUCCAAGAAGGGGGCAGCGAGACGAGCUCGCUGGAGGUACAGCGAGGAGACGUGUACAACUUGGAGCAGGGCAGCAUCCUGUACAUCCAGAGCUACCCCAACGCCACCAGAGAGCGUCUCCGGAUCUACGCCAUUUUCACCAGCAACGCCAUCAACUCCGACGACCCAUCGCAUCCCACUUCAGAAGCAUACUCGAGCGUCAGCAAUCUACUGAGAGGAUUUGAUGUAAAGAUUCUUCGACAGGGAUUUGGGGUUUCCGCUGAAGUGGUGGAGGCAAUCCGAUCGGCCAAGAGCCCGCAGUCGAUUAUAACGUACAAUCCAGACCAGAAGAAGGAAGAGAAGUCGAAUUGGACGGAGGAAAUCUUCGACGCGCUGUGGGGCGACGAGUCCCCACUGAACAAGAAGAAGAAGAAGAAGGAUAAGCACAAGAAGAAGAAGGACAAGAAGGAUGACAAGUCCAAGAGCGAGACGUUCAACUUCUACUCCGGCAAGCCGGACGUCAAGAACUGCUUCGGGUGGAGCAAAACCAUGACCAACAAGGACCUGCAGAACCUCAGGGGGUCCAACAUCGGCAUGUUCAUGGUGAACCUGACCACGGGAUCGAUGAUGGGGCCUCACUGGAACCCGAAAGCGACGGAGAUCGCCAUCGUGACACACGGGUCAGGGAUCGUGCAGGUGGUAUGCCCGAGCACCGCGUCGGGUGCCGGAGGCGAUCGCGGCCACCACGACGAGGGCGGCCGCGGGGGCGGUGAUCACGGUCACCACGACGAGGGCGGCCGCAGGGUUGGCGAUCACGGUCACCACGACGCAGGCGGCCGCAGGGGCGGCGACCACGGGCAAGAAGGCGUCGAGUGCAAGAACUCGGUGUUCAGGGUGAAGGAAGGCGACGUGUUCGUGGUGCCGAGGUUCCACCCGAUGGCGCAGCUGUCGUUCAACAACGGGUCGUUCGUGUUCGUCGGGUUCAGCACGCACAUGGGGCAGAACAACCCGCAGUUCCUGGCCGGGGAGCAUUCGGUGCUGCAGGUGAUCGGCAAGGAGAUAGUGGCGCUGGCGCUGGGGCAGAAGAACACGACCGCCGUGGAGAAGCUUCUGUCGGCGAAGAGCGGGUCGACCAUAAUGGCGUGCGUCUCGUGCGCGGAGGAGCUGGAGAGGAAGGCGGAGCAGGAGGAGCAGGAGGGCGGGAAGGGGGAGAGGGAGCGGGAGCAGGAAGAGGAGGAAGAGAGGGAGAGGAAGCAGCGAGAGGAGGAGGAGAGGGCGAGGAGAGAGGAGGAGGAGAGGGCGAGGAGGGAGGAGAAGGAAAGGAAGAAGCGGGAGGAGGAGGAGCAGAGGAGACGGGAGGAGGAAGAGAGGCAGAGGAGAGAGGAGAAGGAGAGGAAGCAGAGGGAGGAGGAAGAAGCGGCGAGGAGAGAGCAGGAAGAGGAAGAAGAAAGGAGGAGGAGGGAGGAGGAAGAAGGUGGCGGAGGCCAAGGCGGAGGAGGAGGUGAUGAUCCAAGGGAGGAGGAAGAACGGCGGAGGAGGGAGGAGGAAGAAGGUGGCGGAGGCCAAGGCGGACGAGGAGACGAUCCGAGGGAGGAAGAGGAGCGGAGGGGGAGGAGAGAGGAGGAGGAAGGAGGCCGUGGCGGGAGAGGAGGAGACGACCCGUGGGAAGAGGAGGAAGGCGACUGGGGAGGCUCCUCCAGGUACCGCGCGGCCACGACGAACCUGAAGAAACGCUACCACCGUGGUCGCAAGGGCGCCGUGUUCCAGAGCGCCUGA
rnacentral:rRNA from 1 species